ACGUAGGGUGCAAGCGUUAUCCGGAAUCACUGGGCGUAAAGCGUGCGUAGGUGGCGCGUUAAGUGAGAUGUUAAAUCGUGUGGCUCAACCAUAUCGAUGCAUCUCAUACUGGCGUGCUAGAGGGAAGCAGAGGCAAGUGGAAUUGGUAGUGUAGCAGUGAAAUGCGUAGAUAUUACCAGGAACACCAAUGGCGAAGGCAGCUUGCUGGGCUUCUUCUGACACUGAGGUACGAAAGCGUGGGGAGCGAACAGGA
rnacentral:rRNA from 1 species